rnacentral:rRNA from 1 species
CGUAGGGGCGAGCGUUGUCCGGAUUUAUUGGGCGUAAAGAGCUCGUAGGCGGUUCGGUAAGUCGGGUGUGAAAACUCUGGGCUCAACUCAGAGACGCCACCCGAUACUGCUGUGACUUGAGUCCGGUAGGGGAGUAUGGAAUUCCCGGUGUAGCGGUGAAAUGCGCAGAUAUCGGGAGGAACACCAGUGGCGAAGGCGGUACUCUGGGCCGGAACUGACGCUGAGGAGCGAAAGCGUGGGUAGCGAACAGGAUUAGAUACCCUGGUAGUCCACGCCGUAAACGUUGGGCACUAGGUGUGGGUCUCAACCAACGGGAUCCGUGCCGCAGCUAACGCAUUAAGUGCCCCGCCUGGGGAGUACGGCCGCAAGGCUA